UAUGAAGAACGUAGUGAAAUGCGAUAAGUAAUGUGAAUUGCAGAAUUCAGUGAAUCAUCGAAUCUUUGAACGCACAUUGCGCCCGCCAGUAUUCUGGCGGGCAUGCCUGUUCGAGCGUCAUUUCAACCAUCAAGCCCCCGGCUUGUGUUGGGGACCUGCGGCUGCCGCAGGCCCUGAAAAGCAGUGGCGGGCUCGCUGUCACACCGAGCGUAGUAGCAUACAUCUCGCUCUGGGCGUGCUGCGGGUUCCGGCCGUUAAACCACCUUCAUAACCCAAGGUUGACCUCGGAUCAGGUAGGAAGACCCGCUGAACUUAAGCAUAUCAAUAAGCGGAGGA
rnacentral:misc_RNA from 1 species